CUCCUCUUCAUCCUCCCGCGUCCUCCCGGGCUCGCGCCGCUGUCACUGGAGCCCGCAUCCUCCGCCUCCCGCCGCCGCCGCGACCCCGCACCGGGAAUCAAGCCGGCGCGGAAAACCGCAAGCUUGACUCCACGCCCACCUGACUGGACUGAGAAAACCGAAGAAGUUGGUGAGGGUACAGCAAUAAAUAGCAGGAGGAGCAGAAUUUGAAACAGCAGCAUGCCGGUCCUGCGCCUGGUGAAGGAUGACUCGCCAGAAAGCAAAGGCGCAGACCUACCUCCGCGAGCUUGGCGCGUGGCCCAGGAGGCUCCGCGAGCCCUUGUACGUAAGGAUCGUGGCGCCCACGCUUGAGAGCAGAGCUCAGUGCAAACUUCCAACAGUUCUUCCAGUUUCCAGGGAAACGAGAUUUGGAGCUGCUGCGCGUUGCAGAGCUGCCUCUCUGCUCCCCACAUGGGACCCCUGUGGCUGGCUGGUCUUGAGGAGGAAGGAAUUGAAGCCACCUCAUCCUUGAAGGGUGAGGUCCGAUCUUAAGAUGGAAGAGUUGAGCGGGGCUGUGGGGAUAUGUUCUACCCUCAGAGCACUCGGUAGAAGUGCUGUUUUGGGUUGCUUCUCCUCUAGAUGGGCACUGCCACCCCCUUACAAUCUUUCCAUUUCUAUACUCACCACAGGGCCCGUGAACGCGGUGUUUCCCCCUUUAGGGUAUAUUCACACUCCAUAAUGAUUCUCACCUGAUAUUGCCUCCUCAUUUCUCAAAUUGUAUUAUCAUAUUUCUUUUUUUUUUUUUUUAUUAUCAUAUUUCUUAAUUGCCUCAGUUUUGUCGGAAGGAAGCUUGUCUGACAAGAUGCAUCCAGGCACUUUCUUUUACUCACUUCACAGGACAACCGUCGAUGUAGGACUUCUCUUAUCCCCAGUAGCACUUUCCAUUAGUAAAUUAGUGACUGGAAUUGGAACAGAAACCCAGGCUCUGUGUGCAGGCUAUGCUUCCCCAGCUGCCUGCCUUCCUGGUUCCAACCCCUGCACCCCUGCAGAGGAUCCCCACGGUGCAGGAUUUCCCUGUAUACAAAUAAAUCUUACCUAUCAGGUGGGAUUGGAAAUGGCCGGGUAAGGGCAGUUCCAACUAAUUUCUGGGGAUAGAUGAGUUUGUACAUGUGUCUGUGAUGCAACAAACGUUCUUUGGGGUGCAUGGGGUCAGGAGCCUGCAAACAGGGGAGCUGUCUCUUCAGUGCUGGGGAUAAGGGAAGGAGCUGAGGGCUUACCUUACUUGGGCAGUAACAGGGAGAGGGCAACUCACUGAGGAGGAUCUUUAAGCUAAACCAAUUCAAUUUUCUUCUGAGGGCAGAGAUUUCAGGAGAGCAUCCUGGUGUGUAAUGAGAAGGAGGUCUGCUGCUUGGAAUCUAGGGGAACUAGAGGAGCUCCCUCCCUAAACAUCGUGCAAAAUCACAGGAUUCUUUCACCAAGGAAGAGCUCACCAUGCUCUGUUGUGAGCCCCCCUCGACUUCCACUUGCAGAGCCAAGGAGGGGACCAAGGGUAGCUGCAGUCUAUCUAUCUGCAGUCCAGUGACCUGGAGGGUCAGAGGCAGGAAGGAGAGAGAGCAACUCCAGAAAGAACCACACCAGCAAGGAAUAGCUCUGCUACUUUUCCAGAAAAUCACAUCAUCAGCAACUGACCAAGUUCCUACAGAGCCGGGGCAGAGAAUCAGAGAGAUGAUUGAUUCUCCAUGCCUGGCCUCUUUUGUUCCACGUAUGUUUGUGAAGUGUGUCCAUGACGCUGUACACAGCGAUAGCUCACUCAUUGCUGAUAAUGAAGCCCAGCAGCUUACCCAUUUCACUGCAGUAAACAACAUAUUGCUUCUUGUUUGUGUGUCCUGAAUCACGGAGACAUGCACUGUACACUUCCAUGAGUUUGGACAGUUGUCUACAUUUAUACAAACGACCACCUCUGGACUCACUGCUGUUCCAGCUUCUGCAAAUGCUAAGCUCAGCGUUUCCCCACACCAGGGUCUCUUUUGGAGUCUAGCUGAAGCACUUAAUGGGAAUCCACCUAAGUCUCCUCUGACUUUUUUGUUUAUGCAAAGAGUCCAGGGAAGCCAUGUCAGCUGUCCAUGUCUUAGUGAGAUCCAGAAUCAGUGGGGCACAUCUCCCAAGAGAGAAUUGCCAUUCUGCAUCUCCAUCAUGAGGAUGCUGCUGGACUACCUCUGCAGGAGUUUGCACUGAUGCUGUGCUACAAGGAACAAAGACCCUUCUCUGCUUUGGUUUUCUUCAGAAAUGGUCCUGGCUCUAUCUCCCACAUAUUCCAGCCUCCCACCAUUACAGUUGGGGUGGACUUUCCUUCUACCUGUGGAACACAUUAAAUGGAGUUCUUGU
rnacentral:lncRNA from 1 species